rnacentral:rRNA from 1 species
AGCAGCCGCGGUAAUUCCAGCUCCAAUAGCGUAUAUUAAAGUUGUUGCAGUUAAAAAGCUCGUAGUUGAAUUUCGAGAUCAAAUUGUUGGUCGUGCCUCGGUACGUACUGGUAAUUUUGGUUUCUCCCUUCUGAAGAACCAUGAUGUCAUUAGUUUGGUGUCUUGGGGAAUCAGGACUGUUACUUUGAAAAAUUAGAGUGUUUAAAGCAGGCUCGCGCUUGAAUACAUUAGCAUGGAAUAAUGAAAUAGGACGUUUGAUUCUAUUUUGUUGGUUUCUAGGAUCGACGUAAUGAUUAAUAGGGAUAGUUGGGGGCAUUAGUAUUCAAUUGUCAGAGGUGAAAUUCUUGGAUUUAUUGAAGACUAACUACUGCGAAAGCAUUUGACCAAGGAUGUUUCAUUAAUCAAGAACGAAAGUUAGGGAUACGAAGACG